rnacentral:rRNA from 1 species
GAAUCUUGCGCAAUGGGCGAAAGCCUGACGCAGCCAUGCCGCGUGAAUGAUGAAGGUCUUAGGAUUGUAAAAUUCUUUCACCGGGGACGAUAAUGACGGUACCCGGAGAAGAAGCCCCGGCUAACUUCGUGCCAGCAGCCGCGGUAAUACGAAGGGGGCUAGCGUUGCUCGGAAUUACUGGGCGUAAAGGGCGCGUAGGCGGAUCGUUAAGUCAGAGGUGAAAUCCCAGGGCUCAACCCUGGAACUGCCUUUGAUAGGGGAGAGAGGGAGGAGGAGAGAGGGAGGGGGAAAGAAGAGGGGAGAGGGGAAAGGAGGAGAGAGGAGGAAGAAAAAAAGGGGAGAAGGAGAAAGAAGGGAGAAGGAAGGAAGAGGAGGAGAGAAAGAGGGGGGAGAAAAAA